rnacentral:rRNA from 1 species
AUUGAACGCUGGCGGCAGGCCUAACACAUGCAAGUCGAGCGAGCGGCGGACGGGAGAGUAAUGCCUGGGAAUUGCCCAGUAGAGGGGGAUAACAGUUGGACACGACUUCUAAUACCGACAACGAUUGGAUUGCCCAGGUGGGAUUCGCUAGUUGGUGGGGUAAUGGCCCACCAAGGCGCCGAUCCCUAGCUGGUAUGCGAGGCUGAUAAGCAACACUGGAACUGAGACACGGUCCAGACUCCGACGUGAGGCAGGAAUGGGGAAUAUUGCACAAUGGGGGAAACCCUGAUGCAGCCAUGCCGCGUGUGUGAAGAAGGCCUUCGGGUUGUAAAGCACUUUCAGAGAGGAGGCGUUACUCGCAGAAGAAGCACCGGCUAACUCCGUGCCAGCAGCCGCGGUAAUAC